AAAAAUGAUAGAAAAUAGAACGGAUUUGGUGAAAUACAUUUCCUGGCAGAUUUCAACUUUUCUUCUUCUCAGAGCAGGGAAAGAGAAACUUCAUGAGAAACUGAAGCAGGGCCAGAAAGUGCAAGAAGUGAAUGACAGUGGAUUUUAUGCAGGUUGAUGCAUCCAUGGCUGAUGGUUACCGUGGGCAACGCUCUCCUCACACGCCGCAGGAGAAGUUUGAGGGUUUGACUGUUCUCAGAGCACUUAAGGUGAAAUAUUACUCAGUCAUUACACAUACAAUGAUUCAUAAAAUUAUAGACCACAUAUACCCUAGAUAAUAUCGAAAAUAUCUGUUUUCCAGUUAGCUCAAGAUGGGCUGGUUGCAAGGUUGUUACACGAGAUCGGGGAGACUGUUAAAGUUCUGAUUGACCCGUACUUCAGAAGUCACUCUGUUCUCGACUUUGCUUACACACACUUGGAGUGCCGCUCCCAUCCCAGGGACACGUUCCUCUAAUAGGAACAGUCAUUCCCACAUAAACACACAUUAUUAACAGGGAUAAAAUCUUUCUUGGUGCAUAUAUGAUUUUAUGUAUAUGAAGGUCAUCAGGAGGGGCGUCCGGAUCUUUCUCAGUUCAUGUGGAUCACUGCAUCCUGGAGCCAGAAACCAGGCAGAAGAACCAGAGAAGCACCUGCUUACACUCAUCGAGAUCUCAGGUGCACAGUCGUGUACAAGAUAGAUGCACUGUAGGCAAAACACAAAAAAUAAAAAAUUAGGCUAAAUGAUAUUUUCCUCAAUCUGGAUAUGUUGUUUUCACUGAUUCACUUAAUUCAGAAGAUUCAAGAUUCAGAUGAUCAAAGGGUGUGGUAAAAAUUCAGAAUAGGACUUCAAGCUUCUAACACACAAAGUUACUAAACAUUUUACACUUAAUGUUAAUGACUGGCUACAGUUACUGCUGGAAAUGUUUAAUAUAAAGUGUAUAUAAACACUGCUUUACACACAAUCCCUUACUGACAACAUUUUU
rnacentral:lncRNA from 1 species